rnacentral:rRNA from 1 species
GACGAACGCUGGCGGCGUGCUUAACACAUGCAAGUCGUACGGUAAGGCCCUUUCGGGGGUACACGAGUGGCGAACGGGUGAGUAACACGUGAGUAACCUGCCCACCACUUUGGGAUAACGCUAGGAAACUGGCUCUAAUACUGGAUAUGUGCUCCUGCUGCAUGGUUGGGGUUGGAUAGCUCCGGCGGUUGUGGAUGGACUCGCGGCCUAUCUGUUUGUUGGUGGGGUAGUGGCCUACCAAGGCGGCGUCGGGUAGCCGGCCUGAGUGGGUGGCCGGGCACAUUGGGGCUGAGAUACGGCCCAGACUCCUACGGGAGGCAGAAGUGGGGAAUAUUGCACAAUGGGCGCGAGCCUGAUGCAACAACGGCGCGGGGGGGAUGACGGCCUUUGGGUUGGAAACCGCUUUCAGCAGGGACGAAGCUUUUUGUGACGGUACCUGCAGAAGAAGCACCGGCUAACUACGUG